rnacentral:rRNA from 1 species
CCGGUAGCUAAAUGCGGAAGAGAUAAGUGCUGAAAGCAUCUAAGCACGAAACUUGCCCCGAGAUGAGUUCUCCCUGACUCCCUGAGAGUCCUGAAGGAACGUUGAAGACGACGACGUUGAUAGGCCGGGUGUGUAAGCGCAGCGAUGCGUUGAGCUAACCGGUACUAAUGAACCGUGAGGCUUAACCUUACAACGCCGAAG